UAGUUGGUGAGCAGGUAUGUUUUACUCAUUUGAACAAUGAGCUAAGAUAAUGAGAAGUUGCUGCAAUGCUUGCAGUUCUAUUGAGGUCCAUGUCAUGUGGUAUUACUAUAUGCUAAAUAGGCACUUUUUGCAAAGAAAUAUAAGUACGUUCUCGAAAAACCAUUUUUCUGAAUGAUAUGAACUAUGAAAGUGUAAUUGUACUUUGUAGUAGUUUCUGCUGAGAUGCAAUUUGGCUUAGGCAAAGUGGCAUUCGUUAUUAUAGUAAAAAUGGAAAGAGGUUACGAACAUAGAAAAUAUUGAAUUAUUGACGGAUCUCUCAAAACAGUCUCAGCUGGUUGUAGGUUGUUUGGUGAGGUUGCAGCUUGCAGGUUGCUGAGUUUCUCCUCUCUGCUUGUUGGUUUUCUUUGAUUAGUAGAACAAGUAGCACACCACGUGUUUGUGAAAAUGCUUCUCACAGAUGAAACUUUUUGUGUGCCUAGACCUGCCUUCUUUCUUAGGAGAAUAUGCUUGCUGAGACAUUAUGGUCUAAAUUUCAUAAAUAAGUUCGUGCAUUUCUUUUCCUGGGUUCAUUUAGGUAUCUAGAACGUGUGUUCCUUAUGUGUUUCUGUCAUUGUGUGAUGGUAUUUAUGUAUUUAACUUUUUGGAACUUUGUUUCAAGAUUUGCAUAGAGCGGACCACCUUGCAACAGUGUUGGGUUAUAUAACCCAUGGUUUCUUCAUGAUUCAACUUUAUUAUCAUAUCCAUGCAAGAGAACCCGGGCAGCAUGAUUUUGGCAGGAGAAAGGAGGAUUAUCAUUUCUAGAGGUUGAUUUUUUUUUCUUUUUAUGAAUGGCAAAUGCUAAAUUCUGUUACCAUGAAUUAGAAAUUAUAAUCCUCUAGCUAUCCAGUGUUAGAGGAUUAUCCUUCAGCAUUUCUACUGAAUAUCAAAUAUCAGUUAGGGCUUACCAUUCUACAUUUCUACUGAAUAUCAAAUAUCAAUUAGUACUUAUUGCAUAAAAUAAAUUAGUAUUUACCAUUCUACGUUCCUCCUGAAUAUUAGUAUCACAUGUUUAUACUAAUUUUCCAACCAGGGGAACUCCAGUUCCGAAAAGUUUAUACUCACCAGUGAGCUAUUCCCAGUAGAAAUUACUGGACAGGAGCAAAAUUCUUUUUCAAGAUCAUGUGAGUUGAGCUGCGGCUUGGUUGGAGAUGUUGGUGCGGUUCAAGAGGCCCGCUGGGUUCACCCUUUUCAAGGUUCUAAACCAGGGCAAGCUCAACAAGGUCGAGGAUCUAUGGAAGGAGUUCAUGACUCGGACUCGACGAGAAAGUUUUGUGCUUCAUUUUUUUAUGGCAAAAUAACUUCUCUUUUUGAAACAAUUAGUGCGUCAUAUAUCUAUCACAUUAUAAUAGAGUAAGUCAACAAAAUCCCUUUUAUUUGAAUGAACAAGAAUCCGUUGUGUGCUGCUGAGCUAUGUGCCCCUUUUCCAAAUGUUAGAAAGGUUAUCUUAGUUGUCACAUAGAAGUUGGUUUGGGCUUCUAGGCUCAUUUGAUGUUUGCAUGACUUAUUUGAACCCGAUGCAGGCCUCACCGGCAUCCUGAGGUGACACAGCGACGGCCAUGCUCGACACCCUCUUUCGCGACUUGACGACAGCCUAGCAUCAUAGGCAGCUCAUCGGUGGUCCAGCGGAUGGCGACCCAUUUGGGUGGGCGACGACGACCGCAGCUGGUGCACAAGCUCACACUCCACCAGUCCGUACUCAACUCUUCGUCUCGGGUGCGGACUGAGAGUUGGAUGCUCUGUGCCAGGAUAUGAAAGUUUUGUGACCAUUGUUGUGCCAGCUGUGAGGUAUAAUGCUAAUUGGGCUUGUGAAUUUAUUGUGUCUUGGAAUGGAUUGCCGAAUUGUUUGGGUUUUCUCAGUAUGUAGUUUCUUUUAUUUAUUUUUUAUUCUUAUAAUUCAGUGGUCCUUGAUUGCAACCUGGUGUCAUCCUGUUCCUACUCACAUGUUACAGUAGUGCACGAGCUGACAGGGAAGAAAUCUUGGUUUCAAAGUUCUCUCUGUCCGUGGCCAACUGAGUCGGGUCUACUUAACUUUGCUAUCUGACAGAUAUAGCUAUUUUAUUUUCACAUUCAAUUAGGCAAUCUUUUGAGGAGGUUAAAAUGAGUUAUAUUUUGGGCAUGCUUGAUGGCUAUUUUUAUGUUGUGUCAUGUUAGUAGUGUUCUUUAUUUGUUUAUGGGUCAGAUUGUUUGUUUGGUCUUAUGGUUUAGAUGUUUGUCCUCACAGUUUUGAUAUGUUUAUAUAGUACUUUUGGAAUGGGAUAUGAUUCUUUUUGGGUUUUUUAGUUUACGCAUUCGUUCUAAGAAUCUUGAUAUCUGGCUGUGUUGUUGUAGAUUUGUAAAAAAAAAUCUUGGGAUCCAUCUAUUCAACCAUGUUGGAGUAGGCUAUAUGAUCUUUUUAGUUCUGACCACAUAUGCUUCUUCCUUGGUCUGUUCACCAAGUCAUGGACACUGACUUAAAAAAUGAACAAUGCUACCCCUUCAGCUGUAGGUGCAGGGUUGACAGUGACAGCAGAUGGAGCUUCUCUGACCGCUACUGAAGACACCGUUGAACAGCUUAACCAGACAAAG